AUUUCUCCCAAAUGUCAUCUGCAUCGUUCUCACACAAAACAUAUUCCCCCAAUGACAUGGUAACACAACAGCAAUAACAGGAACAUUGCUGAUGGCAUGGCAUCCGCUACAAUUGCGGUUAUUGUGGUCUUUCUGAGCAGAAGCUUUAUACUGCAUUGACUGGGAGUGUCAUUAUCACCGUGGUAUUGACGAUAGGACUCGAUCCACGCAGUCACGGCGACGAGGGCUGCGAUCAGUGUUGGAUAAGAUAUUUGCCAACGCUUGGUUGUCCGGUUACGGAGUUGUUUUACUGUGGGAUUAGGAUACAGCAGUCAUCAGGAUGAAUAUCAUAGAUCACGCCGGGUAUGAUGUUAGCGAUGGGCAUCGAACGAGCUCACCACAUUGGCCCUUCUCCCAGAUCCACCAAUUUCAAGGUCAUAUCUAGACUACCGUGUCGACUUGAGAGAGAGGCCACUAAAAGGAAAAACCCGCGUAUCCAGAAACUAGGAGCUAUCGACAUGUCAAGGUCAAGUCGCCAACGAGCUGUGUCCGCCUGUUCAGACUCUUCUAGAGAAAAUGGCGACUACCAACUAUCAAAACAAACUAAAUUCAUGGAUUACAAAAACUCACCAAAAUUGGUGCCUAAACAAUCAACAGAUAUCCAACCUGUUGCAGAUUAUUCUAGAAGGCGGACAUCGUCGUUUGAUUCUAGUGCCAUACGUGCGGACGAGUCACCAUCACAUCGACCGGGUUCAAAAUCUGGCAAUCCGUAUAAAACUUUGAGACCAGAGGCCAAGGAAAAGGUUGUACGGAAGGUGUCUUUCUCGGAUGACCUUAUAGUCAUAAGUGAUGCCGGCGAGGUCAAGGCAAGAAGGUCACAUUCUGCGCGCCAUGUCCGAUCUCGUGACCUUGAGGCAGACGGCCAUAGGCCGAACGGGACGUGUAGAUACAUGCAUUUAUUAAAGGGACGAGAGGAUCCAUCACACAGUAAGGACUUGGACACUGUCUAUCAUGGACUUUCCUCAUUACUAGGCACCAAGUCUAAGGACUCUGAACGUAAAACCACAAAGGUGCAAUCUACAGAGAAAAGCAGUAAAAAGAAAGUUACAAAGGCUUUAAGCGUUCCGACAAAGAAAGGGUCAACGCAUGCGGGUUCUGUAUAGUACAAAUAAUAAUGAUAACUGUUCAUACAUGUAUUGUUAAGUAUGAAUAUCGGCAAAAAAUGUUGAAGAUAUAUUAUUUUCAAAAGAAGAAAGCCGUUGUAUAGUUUCUGAAAGUGUCGCUUUGCCGUCUGAUUUAGCGUAAGCGUUGUUGUGGCCUGGAGGAGCCGUCAACCGAGCGAUUCUCCAGCACUAGAAAGGAAGUUGAUCCUUGGCCAUACAUACUGAUGAUGAUGUACCGAGAUUAUAUAAUGGGGACAAAGAUCAGAAGUGUCUAUUUCGGCGCUGAGCCUUUUGGUAACAUUGUAAUACCUCGGCCAGGAAUUGUCAUGACCUUCAAAGAGCAGCAACUGCCUUUCAAAUAUAUUGAUAUUAUCUGGAAAGUCUCGCGAAUACUAAGGACAUAUUUGACACUAUAUAAUGUUAUUGGCAAUAUCAAUUUUGUUUGACUGUUCUACGUUCAAAAAAUGGUUGUACUGUUACCAUGUUCAGUUCAGUUACCCUCACUACUGUGGUGAUUCAAUUGACAGAACACCCAAUUGAAUCGGGAUAUGUUCCUUUGGGUAAAAUAGGGGGUCAGUCCUAACAGCCUGUCGUCCCUAUCACGGGAAUAGGCAUAUCCCAAUUCAUUGUGUUCCGCUGAAGCCGAACCAACCGGACAACUAGCAAUGUCAGUUAAGAAUAAUUCUGUGAGUUGACUUACCACUCUGUUGACAUAUGAUAAAUAAAGAGGAAAUUUUCAUU